rnacentral:lncRNA from 1 species
CCAGGCCUGUGUGAGCUGCAGGUUCUGCCCUCAGAGAGGUGGCUCUAGAAAACAAGCCAAGCUGAGCUCGUAAAUCUCCUCCCUAGAGGGGCACCUGCCACAUUAGGAGGCGCUCUAUUUAUGCGUUCAUAUGAGAGUGCUAAAAGCUGCUCUCACUCCUCAUCCAUCCCAGUGGUACAGGCCGAACAGUGCCCUCUCAGAAAGGAUCUGCUGAAGUCCUAACCUCCAGCACCUCAGGAUGUGACCCUAUUUGGACAUAGGGUCUUAGCAGAGGUAACUGAGUUAAAACAAGACUGUUAGAGUGGGCUGUAAGCCAAUCUGGCUGGACUGCCUGUAAGAAGGGGAGAUUUGGUCAUAGACAGGUACAGAGGGGCAUUGGGAG